rnacentral:rRNA from 1 species
ACGAACGCUGGCGGCGUGCCUAAUACAUGCAAGUCGAACGGUCUUUCUAUGGAAGCUUGCUUCCACUGAGAAGAUAGUGGCGAACGGGUGAGUAACACGUGGGUAACCUGCCCAUAAGAGGGGGAUAACAUCCGGAAACGGGUGCUAAUACUGCAUAGUUUUCUUGAUCGCAUGAUUGAGAAAGGAAAGACGGCCUUUGUGCUGUCGCUUAUGGAUGGACCCGCGGCGUAUUAGUUAGUUGGUGAGGUAACGGCUCACCAAGACGAUGAUACGUAGCCGACCUGAGAGGGUGAUCGGCCACAUUGGGACUGAGACACGGCCCAAACUCCUACGGGAGGCAGCAGUAGGGAAUCUUCCGCAAUGGACGAAAGUCUGACGGAGCAACGCCGCGUGAGUGAAGAAAAGGUUUUCGGAUCGUAAAACUCUGUUGUCAGAGAAGAACAAGUUGGAGAGUAACUGCUCCAGCCUUGACGGUAUCUGACCAGAAAGCCACGGCUAACUACGUGCCAGCAGCCGC